UACGAAGGGGACUAGCGUUGUUCGGAAUUACUGGGCGUAAAGCGCACGUAGGCGGAUUUGUAAGUCAGGGGUGAAAUCCCGGGGCUCAACCUCGGAACUGCCUUUGAUACUGCAAAUCUCGAGUCCGAUAGAGGUGGGUGGAAUUCCUAGUGUAGAGGUGAAAUUCGUAGAUAUUAGGAAGAACACCGGUGGCGAAGGCGGCUAUCUGGACGACAACUGACGCUGAGGCGCGAAAGCGUGGGGAUCAAACAGGG
rnacentral:rRNA from 1 species